CAGGCGGGCAAGGUGAUCGCGCCGGUGCGUUAUGUGCCGGUGAGGAAAGUCCGCACUCCACAGGGCACGGUGCUAGCUAACAGCUAGGCGGAGCGAUCCGACGGCAAGUGCAACAGAGAGCAGAUUGCGUCCGGCAACGUCCGGGCGUGAGGGUGAAACGGUGGUGUAAGAGACCACCAGCGUCGGUGGUGACAUCGGCGGCUAGGCAAACCCCACCGGGAGCAAGGCCAAGCAGAUGCGAUGGUGUCGCCCGCACCGCAUCGGGUAGGCCGCUUGAGGCGUCAGGUGACUGGCGUCCUAGAUAGAUGAUCGCCACCCGCCGCGCGCGGGUACAGAAUGCGGCUUAUGCGCCCGCCUGACCG
rnacentral:RNase_P_RNA from 1 species